GACAGAGGGUGCAAACGUUGUUCGGAAUUACUGGGCGUAAAGCGAGUGUAGGCGGUCUCGUAAGUCGGGUGUGAAAGCCCUGGGCUCAACCCAGGAACUGCGUCCGAUACUGGAAGGCUUGAAUCCGGGAGAGGGAUGCGGAAUUCCAGGUGUAGCGGUGAAAUGCGUAGAUAUCUGGAGGAACACCGGUGGCGAAGGCGGCAUCCUGGACCGGCAUUGACGCUGAGGCGCGAAAGCCAGGGGAGCAAACGGG
rnacentral:rRNA from 1 species